UAGGGAAUCUUCGGCAAUGGACGAAAGUCUGACCGAGCAACGCCGCGUGAGUGAAGAAGGUUUUCGGAUCGUAAAACUCUGUUGUUAGAGAAGAACAAGGACGUUAGUAACUGAACGUCCCCUGACGGUAUCUAACCAGAAAGCCACGGCUAACUACGUGCCAGCAGCCGCUGUAAUACGUAGGUGGCAAGCGUUGUCCGGAUUUAUUGGGCGUAAAGCGAGCGCAGGCGGUUUCUUAAGUCUGAUGUGAAAGCCCCCGGCUCAACCGGGGAGGGUCAUUGGAAACUGGGAGACUUGAGUACAGAAGAGGAGAGUGGAAUUCCAUAUGUAGCGGUGAAAUGCGUAGAUAUAUGGAGGAACACCAGUGGCGAAGGCGGCUCUCUGGUCUGUAACUGACGCUGAGGCUCGAAAGCGUGGGGAGCAAACAGG
rnacentral:rRNA from 1 species